CCCUUAGAUGUUCUGGGCCGCACGCGCGCUACACUGACGAAGUCAGCGAGCAUCACCUACGCCGAAAGGUGCGGGGAAUCUUGUGAAACUUUGUCGUGCCGGGGAUUGAUUUUUGAAAUUCUUGAUCAUCAACGAGGAAUUCCUAGUAAGCGCAAGUCAGCAGCUUGCGUUGAUUACGUCCCUGCCCUUUGUACACACCGCCCGUCGCUACUACCGAUUGAAUGGUUUAGUGAGAUUUUUGGACUGGAACUCUCUUGUUCAGCAAUGAACGAGAGGGACUCUGGGAAGCUAUUCUAACUGUAUCAUUUAGAGGAAGUAAAAGUCGUAACA
rnacentral:rRNA from 1 species